rnacentral:tRNA from 1 species
AAGGUAAUAGUUUAAGCUAAAACUUUAAGUUGCAAUCUUAAAAAUGGAUCAUCCUUACUUUUC